UACAGAGGGGGCAAGCGUUAUUCGGAAUUAUUGGGCGUAAAGGGCGCGUAGGCGGCUUUGCAAGUGGCGGGUGAAAUCCCUCGGCUUAACCGAGGAACUGCCUGCCAGACUGUGAGGCUUGAGACCGGGAGAGGUGAGUGGAGUUCCCAGUGUAGCGGUGAAAUGCGUAGAUAUUGGGAGGAACACCAGUGGCGAAGGCGGCUCACUGGACCGGAACUGACGCUGAGGCGCGAAAGCGUGGGGAGCAAACAGG
rnacentral:rRNA from 1 species